UACAGAGACCUCAAGCGUUAUCCGGAAUCAUUGGGCGUAAAGCGUACCGAUCUGUUGUUUUGAAAGUUUUGGGUAAAAGCCAGAAGCUCAACUUCUGAGUUUGCUCAAAAUACUGCAAAACUAGAGGGGCAAAGAGGAGACUGGAACGAACGGUGUAGUAGUGAAAUGCGUUGAUAUCGUUCGGAACACCGAAAGCGAAGGCAGGUCUCUGGGUGCCACCUGACACUGCUAGGACGAAAGCGUGGGGAGCGAAUGGG
rnacentral:rRNA from 1 species